UAAAACGUAGGUGGCGAGCGUUAUCCGGAUUUAUUGGGCGUAAAGAGGGCGUAGGCGGCUUUUCAAGUCGGAUGUAAAAUCUCUUGGCUUAACUGAGAGGGACCAUCCGAUACUGUUGGGCUAGAGGACAGCAGAGGGAGGUAGAAUUUCCGGUGUAGUGGUGGAAUGCGUAGAUAUCGGAAGGAAUACCAGUGGCGAAGGCGGCCUCCUGGGCUGUUGCUGACGCUGUAGCCCGAAAGCGUGGGGAGCAAACAGACUUAGAUACUCUGGUAGUCCACGCCCUAAACUAUGGACACUAGGUAUGGGGAGUAUCGACCCUCUCUGUGCCGAAGCUAACGCGUUAAGCGUCCCGUCUGGGAAGUACGGCCGCAAGGCUA
rnacentral:rRNA from 1 species